rnacentral:rRNA from 1 species
ACGUGUCCGGCUGUGAGAGUACCCGAAGAAAAAGCAUCGGCUAACUCCGUGCCAGCAGCCGCGGUAAUACGGAGGAUGCGAGCGUUAUCCGGAUUUAUUGGGUUUAAAGGGUGCGCAGGCGGAUUUUUAAGUCAGCGGUCAAAUCGUGGGGCUCAACCCCAUCCAGCCGUUGAAACUGGGGAUCUAGAGUGUGCGAGAGGUAUGCGGAAUGCGUGGUGUAGCGGUGAAAUGCAUAGAUAUCACGCAGAACCCCGAUUGCGAAGGCAGCAUACCGGUGCACAACUGACGCUCAGGCACGAAAGCGUGGGUAUCGAACAGGAUUAGAUACCCUGGUAGUCCACGCAGUAAACGAUGAAUGCUACCUGUUUGGCCAGAUUGAAGGCUGA